GGGAGCGACUUGGCUUCGACAGGAGUAAGUCUGCUUAGAUGGCAUGUCGCUUUGGGCAAAGCGUAAAAAGCUCAAAUAAAAUUAAACGCAAACAACGUUAAAUUCGCUCCUGCUUACGCUAAAGCUGCGUAAGUUCAGUUGAGCCUGAAAUUUAAGUCAUACUAUCUAGCUUAAUUUUCGGUCAUUUUUGAUAGUGUAGCCUUGCGUUUGACAAGCGUUGAGGUGAAAUAAAGUCUUAGCCUUGCUUUUGAGUUUUGGAAGAUGAGCGAAGUAGGGUGAAGUAGUCAUCUUUGCUAAGCAUGUAGAGAUCUUUGUGGGAUUAUUUUUGGACAGGGGUUCGAUUCCCCUCGCUUCCACCA
rnacentral:tmRNA from 2 species